UGUAGCUUCAACCGUUAGACUCACUAAGCUUUUAUAUUUGGCCUAUGAAUGUAAUGCAGCAACAGAGAUUCUGAAGGUUGGAUCUUUAGCUUGAAAUUUGUUUUUGUUCAGUACUAGGUGUAUACAGAAGAAGUGUAAUUUAAGGCUGCAGGAUCUCAAUCAUAAUAAUUUGGGCAUUAGGGAUAUGUAUUCAUCAACCUGAGGGGGAGUGUUGGCAUGAGCUAUCAAUAGAGAGAUUAUGGGGAUUAUCUAAUCACCAAGAUUGACUCCAAUCCCUUGAUUCCAGAAAUCGAGAAUCAUCUAGGAUACUAGCCUAGAAUAGGACUGACGUUUUAUUUCUUUCCUAGAUUAGUUAUGUCUAUACAUAAUAUACUAACCCUCUAUUGUAUGCUGUAAUACAUAAAUGAAAAUCAAUUCUUCCUCCAUAUUUUUACAAUAAUUUCAUGUUGGACAAGUAAUUUGACAUCCUUAGGAGUGUUAAAAAGAUAAUUCAUGAAGAUAAAAUAGUCUUAUAAGAACAACUCUAUGCAUUGACUUUUCUCAAAGGUGAAAAGAUUUUUCACUAUAUCUU